rnacentral:tRNA from 2 species
GCGGGCGUAGCUCAGUUGGUAGAGUCGGAGCUUCCCAAGCUCAAGGUCGCGGGUUCGAGCCCCGUCGCCCGCUCCA